rnacentral:lncRNA from 10 species
CCCCAUAUGUUUGAAAAAUCAAGAAUUUUAAAUGUAUAUGAAAAUUGUUUCAAAAAGGUUUCCACACAAGAAACUAGAACUAUUAUACGGUAAUGAUUAUUAAAAAUAUUUUAUAUUAAAACUUGAGAGAUGUAAGUAAAUUGUAUUUAGAGAGAUAUUAGAAUUUAUAUACAUAUUUAUAUACAUACAUUUUGUGUGUAUAUACAUAUAUACUUAAUGUGACUAUUAGAAAAGAUGAAUGGCUAUAUAUUAAGGAGCAAGCAUCCAUCUCAGGACAUUAUUUUUAAAAAUGUAAAAAAUAUUCUGCACAAAUAAAGGGAAGAAAUAAUAUAGUCAGAAAUUAGUGAACUAGACCCAAAGUCAUACAAAAUUUGGCAAUGUCAAUGGUUGUUUUUUCAAAAAAAAUUGAAACAACUUAUAAUGAAAUUUAUCAAGAAAAAAGACAGGAGACCGGGCUCGGUGGCUCACGCCUGUAAUCCGCCUGUAAUCCUAGCACUUCGGGAGGCCGAGGCGGUUGGACCACCUGACGUCAGGAGUUCAACACCAGCCUGGCUAACAUGGUGAAACCCCAUCUCUACUAAAAAUACAGAAAUUAGCCUGGCGUGGUGGAGACCGCCUGUAAUCCCAGCUACUCCAGACGCUGAGGCAGGAUAAUGGCUUGAACCCAGGAGGCGGAGGUUGCAGUAAGCCGAGAUCGCACCAUUUCCCUCCAGCCUGGGCGACAGAGCGAAACUCUGUCCCCAAAACAAAACAAAACAAAACAAAAACAGGAAAAGAAAAAUGACAGGAAAUACAAACAAUGUUAAUAAUGCAAUGGUAUACAAAUACUGAUAAUAACAAAUAUAAUAAGCAUGCUUAUGGCAACAACAUUUAAUAUUUAGAUGAAAAGGCCAUAUUCCUAGAAACAGACAUAAGAAGAAAUACAAAGAAAAAGCAAAACUAAAAUAAAACUAAACAAAAACUGUAUAAGGCAAUUUAGAAAAUGAAGUUUAUGACCUCACAGUAGAAAUUACUAGAAACAAAAAUUAGAAACUACAUAUGUAAACUAUCUUUAUAUUUAUAGUUAACAUAAAUAUUACCACAAUAAAUAAUUGUGAGAUUAGGUAUCUGAUGGAAGUCUUCAGCUUAUAAAGAUAAUAAAAGCCAUUCUCCAAUUCAAUCAAAAGGAAAAUAUGAGUAUUUUAUGAAAAUAUCCAAAAUUUAAUUUUCAUUCUUCAAAAUAUCAAGUCGUGUAUUAUGUCUUCUGCACAAAUUUGUAAGUACUGUUUAUUACAGACUAUUUAAUUAGUUGUUUCAUGGUUGAGGCUUCCAACUGUAAGCUUACAUAAGAGCUGUGGCUAUAGUUCUCUUUUAUUCUACAUAUCACACUCUAAUAACUUGACUGUUUACAUAUAUGUGUUUUCAUUAGUUCUACAUUAGUAGGGUUUUUUUUUAAUUUUGAUAUUUCACCCUGAAUUACAGCCUUAUUUCUCUUUUUCCAGAGAAUAAUCACCAUUCAUCGUCUUCUUCAUUCCCCCUUGUCCCUUUCUCUUCGGAACCUAGGUUUUUUGAAGGGGAGAGGGGAGGCACUCCCACACAUUCCUCGGAAUUGCAACUUGGCAGUAACCUCAAUGAUGUUCAUAUUACAAAAUCUAAAUGCCAGUUUCUUUCCCUUAUCCACCACAAUUAAGUGAUAUUUACAGACAAGUAUUUCAGACUUCCUGAAA